CGGAACGGACGACGGCAAAAGGCGACUCCCGUGUCUACCAGUGCAAUUUGUUAAAAGCCAAAAGACGGCAUAGAUGUCUGCAUACAAUGCAUGUUACUAAGCGAAACCUGCAAUGGCUUUGCCUUUUCUUCUAAAAGGAGGCCGCGAGUGUUUGCCUGAUGCGGCCGUGUCACCUGGCGGCCAAGGACUUGAUGGUUAAGGGCAGAUGCAUUAUGCAGGCCAGGCACUGAAUUGUGUUUCGUCCAGUACUGCGGGACUCUCACCCACUAAACCCUGGACCUCCUUAUCAGCUUGGAUCAUGGUUCGGGAUAUGUUUGAUAUUACUUCGAAACCAUGACUUGCAGGAACGGUCAUUUCAUCAUCCUUCCCUUUGAACCGUUCCAGUCCACCCUCCGUUCUGGCUUUCCUCUUGACCAGGUACUCUAGGUCUCAAGGGGAACCGUGCUCCCUGUUCUCCUGUUAAUUCCAAUUGUACUGCGUCGGUCCCAUGAUUGUUUCGGGCCUGCCCUUCUGCUAUUCUCUUACGUCUCGUCCUUUCUAGUUGUUCCUUUCUUUUCAUAACAUCGUCAAAGAAAGCCGUAACUUUGGCCCAGUUCGUCCUGUCUUUUGUCAUCAUAUCCACCAUUUCCUUAGUACUGCCCUUUGCUACGACCCUUCUGUGUACCUGCUUGUCUCUGACCGCUUUAAGUACCUGACAGUGAAGAAGAGUAUGUUCUACUCCGUCCUUCAUGCCCGACACGCAGAGUACACAUAUGUCUGCUUAAAUUUAUGUUGCUUUGUGUUGCAUAUGCGAUCCGGUGAUGGCGUGGCCGACGACGAUGAGGCUGAAGAGUUCGUAAAAUAAAAAGGAAUGCCGUGGGAUUGCGCUUAAAAAUGGCUCGAAGUAUCUGUGAUUUUGGAUCGUGGCGCCACGAACUAACAGCCCUCAGUAUUCGGGUUGAUACAUUGUCGAACCAUAUCAAUGUUUCAGAGUUUACCUAUUUCCUUGAAUAGAUAAUACUUAGCCGCUCGCAGCCAUGAUUUCCUCAUGUCUAUUACGCAACACAGCAACAUAUUCAAUGAGUAAAAGAUGGCGACGAUGUUAAAAUCUAUGAUACAUUUGGAUAUAAUUGGCGACUUUUGAUCAAUCCCGUCGACCGCGUCAAGUUUCAAGGAGGUCAACUUUGAUUUCGGCGUAAGAAAUUGAGCAGACUCAGAAUAGACGUCCCUUAUACCCUGCGCAAAUUCUACGGCAUGUACUACUUAUUAAACACAAUGAGCGUUUGUAUGUAUAGCCACUAGAGAAUUAAUAUUACUAGAAGAGAACUAUCGCCACUAAAUGAUUCAGAUUGUUUUAGUAACACUGUAGAAAUGUGUGCACGUUAAAAACAGAAAAAAAUCAUCAUAUUAUUUCAAAUGCCUAUAGCGAAUGCUCUGCUUCGCAGGCCAAAGUUAUUGACUUCAUCAUAUAAUAAGCAUAUUAUUAAAUCAAUAGUAUUACUUAUUUUCUUACAUUUUGGCUGUGGUAUUUCUGUGGUAUUGUCGAAUGCUUGAAAACAAUCGAGCCACGCUAUAACCGAAUAGGGGAGAGCUCUUAUACUAUUUAGACGUUGUUGUAUUUCAGAUAAACAGGUAUGUCGAUACCACCCGGUAGUAUAAGGUAAAAUAAGUCAAUAUAGUUCUCAGAUGAGAAUAAUUUUACGUUUUUAUAAUAUGUUAAAGUGAAUUUAAUUAAGAUAGAUUAUGCUGUACACUUAAGUUUAAGGAAAACUUCAAGUCGACUUCCAUUGGAUUUAGUUUUUGCGUUUUUUUUUUUAAUUAACUUAAAAACUCAGAGAAAACAACACUAAAUCACGGUGGCCAUGCAUAUUAAGAUCCGUGCACAUUAUUAUAU
rnacentral:lncRNA from 1 species